CUGGGAGAAGCCGAGUGCUGGUGAGUGACGCGGCGGAGGUGUAGUUUGACGCGGUGUGUUACGUGGGGGAGAGAAUAAAACUCCAGCGAGAUCCGGGCGGCGAACGAAAGCAGUGACGGAGGAGCUUGUACCACCGGUGGCUAAAUGACCAUGGAAUCUGGAGCAGAGAACCAGCAGAGUGGAGAUGCCGCCGUAACAGAAGCUGAAAACCAGCAAAUGACCGUUCAAGCCCAGCCACAGAUUGCCACAUUAGCCCAGGUAUCUAUGCCAGCAGCUCACGCGACAUCAUCUGCUCCCACCGUAACGUUAGUACAGCUGCCCAAUGGGCAGACAGUUCAAGUCCAUGGCGUUAUUCAGGCGGCCCAGCCAUCAGUUAUUCAGUCUCCACAAGUCCAGACAGUUCAGUCUUCCUGUAAGGACUUAAAAAGACUUUUCUCCGGAACUCAGAUUUCAACUAUUGCAGAAAGUGAAGAUUCACAGGAGUCAGUGGAUAGUGUAACUGAUUCCCAAAAACGAAGAGAGAUUCUUUCAAGGAGGCCUUCCUACAGGAAAAUUUUGAAUGACUUAUCUUCUGAUGCACCAGGAGUGCCAAGAAUUGAGGAAGAGAAGUCUGAAGAGGAGACUUCAGCUCCCGCCAUCACCACCGUAACGGUGCCAACGCCGAUCUACCAAACUAGCAGUGGACAGUAUAUUGCCAUUACCCAGGGAGGAGCAAUACAACUGGCUAACAAUGGUACCGAUGGGGUGCAGGGCCUGCAAACAUUAACCAUGACCAACGCAGCCGCCACACAGCCGGGCACCACCAUUCUGCAGUACGCGCAGACCACUGACGGACAGCAGAUCUUAGUGCCCAGCAACCAAGUUGUUGUUCAAGCGGCCUCUGGAGAUGUGCAGACAUACCAGAUUCGCACAGCGCCCACUAGCACCAUCGCCCCUGGCGUUGUUAUGGCUUCCUCUCCCGCGCUCCCCACACAGCCUGCUGAAGAAGCCGCACGGAAGAGAGAGGUUCGGCUAAUGAAGAACAGGGAAGCAGCACGGGAGUGCCGUAGAAAGAAGAAAGAAUAUGUGAAGUGUUUAGAAAACAGAGUGGCAGUGCUUGAAAACCAAAACAAGACACUGAUUGAGGAGCUAAAAGCACUUAAGGACCUUUACUGCCACAAAUCAGAUUAAUUUGGGAUUUAAAUCUCACCUGUUACAUUGGACAAAGAACUGGCUUGGCCACAACCAGAAAGACAAAAUAAACGUUUUAUUUUCUAAACAUUUCUUUUUUUCUAUGCGCAAAACUGCCUGAAAGCAACUACAGAAUUUCAUUCGUUUGUGCUUUUGCAUUAAACUGUGAAUGUUCCUACACCUGCCUCCACUUUUUCCUUCAAGAAGUUUUCAGCACCAGGAAUCAUGAAGAGACUUCUGCAGUUCAUCCCCCAUCCUCCUCAAGAAGUAAUAAUUGAUUGACUUUGUAAAUUGAUGGGGGAAAUGAGGAAAAGAAAACAUUUUUUAAUUUCAAGAUUUGUGCUGAGCGCCUUGAUUGCCUUAGGGACAGAAUUACCCCAGCCUCUUAACGCUGAAGUAAUGUGUGGGCCACAUGCAUAAAGAUGAACAGAGUUUAUGAAGAAGCAUCAUUCUAAGAAUUGAGUGAUGUAGUGUAUUUUGACAAUAUACCAUAUUCUCAAGAAGGCUUUCAAACAGUUGUAAAGAUUGAUGUUUAUCCUGCUGAGCUAAUGGGGAAUGUAAAAAUUACUUGUAUACCAGUAUAGAGAUGUCAUUUUCCAAAAUUGGUUAACAGAAACGAAUCAAAAUCACAAAUUUGUUCACCAACUAGAAUUCUUUUGUAAUUAGUCAGAGUGAACAUUUUGAAUGUCAUAAGCUUUAUAAAUGAAAACUGUCUAGUAUUUAGCAAGUUGUAAAUGGAAGAUAUUUCUUUUUUAAAAGUUAGGCUCUCUAUUUAAUUAGAAAUUUGGUGGUCCUCUUAAUCCCUGAUGAAUCAAGGCAAUCACUUCCAUAUUAUAUGGUUGGAUUUGUAAGUUAUUGUAGAAAGACCAGUCCUUUAUACCUGAGGAUGAUUGCACUGGUUUGAAGUCAGUUACUUAAAUGGUGAGAUAACAAAUGUAUUCUGUUGCUAAAUCUGCUUUAGACCUUUGGAGAGACUUGAAGAUUUCAGUUUAUAGAAAUUAAGCAUCUUUUGUGCAGAUUUUUUUUUUUUUAAACAAGAAUUGGGGGGAAAAGUUAGUUUUUAUGCAUGCAACUUUGAGAAUUUUUAUUAAGAAAAUGACAUAAUGAAAAAAAUAUUGUAGCCAAGAACAUAAAUGGCAAUCUUACUAGUAAUAAUUGUUUUUUUUUCUCUUAUGUUGGCCAAAAGGGAAUGGAAAUGUUAUCAUAGGAAUUUGUACAUAUGCUACUGAUUUGCCUAGAAAAUAGUUUGGUAUCACUUUGCAAACAUAGGGCCAUGUGGCACUUUUAUCUAUAGGACAGAAUAACUAAUAAAAAUGAAGUGGGAGGGGUUUAUUUUUGAUAUUACUCUUAUUAGUUUUCAAGCUUUGAUAGUGUGUAACUGAAAAGUGGUUUAGAAAGGGCUAGAUCCAAUGUGUUCACAUUAAAAAAUUGAUAUCAGAUGUAAUUUUAAGUUCAUUCUCUUAAACUGAAGUACCAUAUUGGCAACCAUAAUACUGUCAUAGGUGCUCUGUUCUUUAGAUAUUCUCGGGGGGGAAUGGCAUUUGUAUGAUAAAUGUGUACAUAUAUACAUAUAUAUAUAUACAUACAGUAUAGUAUAUAAUCUGAAGCUCUGAGAGCUCUUAAGUCAGGAAUGCCGAGUAUUAUAGUAUAUUGAGGUUAGGUGAAAUUUUACAUUUUUGCGUUUUCUAUUGCAUACCUUUUGAUAGUUUCUUGGACUGCGUUACUCCAGCACUCAUGAUUGAUUUUUGUCUUCUAAUUUUCUUCCAAGUGUUUUUUUUAAAUUAUCAUUAUUGUUUGUUUUCUUUGGUUUGAUGUUUUUAAACAUGUUACUAGUCACUUGAAAACUCCCUCCACCCCAGAGUAUUUGGUUUUUAUGCUUUGUCUCUGGCAGCUAUAACCGUGGUAAGAACAUUUAAAGAUAGCUUCUAGAAGGUACCACUCAUUUCAGAAAUCAUCCUGGGGCAGGAAUUUUGGUCUUUUCGUUUGAGCAGGGAUUUUGUCAGAAAAUGUGUUUUGUGGAAGGUCAGCAGCAGUGCUAGUAUCUGAAAGCACAGUGCCAGCCAGCAGGCUGUCCAAUCAGAAGUCACCUGGCAGAAGUUUAUCUCUGUCUCUCAGGCCUAAUCCCUAGUAUCAUUCGGACCAUUCGGGUGACAUGUGGAAUCAUACAAAGGCUUAGGAAGAAAUAAGUUUGUUUAAACCAGGAUGCUUUUACUUACUUGAAGUGACUUCAAUCUAGAUUCCUUCUUUUCAUUUUUAAUAUGUUUUAAAUUCUGUGAUCAGAUACAGUCAGCAUAAAUUUGUCUCUUUAUUUUGAAGAUUAAAAAAAAAAGCUGCUUCAUUUUGCAGGAUUAAAUAAAGCUUAUAUCUUAAAGUUAAGAUUUAUUUUUCAUUAAAGUGUGUUUUAGAAACAGUGACUAUAUACAUUUUUGGUUAUUUUCAAGAGGCUUUAUUUUAUUGCCUUUGUAGCCCUGAAGACUGUUGGUAUAUUGUUUCCCAUUGACUUAAUACAAAAGUUGUAUAUUUGUUUGGAUUAUAUUGACAUUAUAUUCUUUGUAAAUGUUUGGUAUAACUUGCACUUUUAAAAAUUACCCGGUUUGGGUAUCAACUUGAGAAAUUCCCUCAUCAAUUAAUUGUCAACUGACUUUUUAUGUCUUUCUCCUUCAAAUAAUGGGACUUUUUAAAAAUGAAAACUUUUCAUUGGUUAAAAUACUUUAGCACCUACAGUCUAGCCUUAUAGUUGUAAAAGAAAAAUACCAGUAAAUUAGAUUUGUCUAGCCCCAUUAACUAGAAAUGAGGCCCUUUUCUUUUUCAUCUUGGAUAAAGAUGGGAAGAAAAGCAACUCAAGUGAAUAAAUAUUUCCGAUUUUAAAUGAGUGUCUUAUCCUCAUUAACACUGUCUAUAGAAUGCCAAGAUAUCCAUGGAUUUGUCCAGAAUGGUAAAAGAAUUUUCAAGGCAAUUAUUGUCAUAGUGGAGGCCACAUGUAAUCAUUUGACUAAAUUUACUUCACUUAAAAUUGGCCUGGUUAACGUCAAAGAGAUGCUGCCUAAAUUUGACUGAUUUCAGAUGCGGAGGGAGAAAGAAGCGUGCUUAGUAAGCCUCUGGGUGGAGAGAGGUGGGAUAAAAUUUGCUCACUCCGUUGUACAAAGCACAACCAGACUUGUGAGUGGCUUACUUGAAGUGACUUCAUACAUCUUGAAUACUUUUAAUGUUGAUGUGUUGACUUUUUUAAGUUGACUGCACAGUCACUGUAUGUACUAGGAACUGGUUUCCUUGACUUUCUAGAAUCAUUGGCUAAGAGAGGCACUAAUCCCUGCGGGGUUGAACAUACCCUGAAGCUGAGUCAGUAUGGAAGAAUUUCAAAUAAAUCAAACAGGGUGCUGCAGUUCCAUCUGUCUCAUGCUCAUGGUAAGUUCUUACUGAUUAGUGAAUGUAGCUUAAGCCUUUGUAUGUGUCCUCAGGGGCAGACUUCAAGAGGGACCAGAUAACGUUUAAAUGGAGGGAUUAUAUUUCAGGUGUUUUAGCUUGAAAUUUAUUUUUAAAAAUAAAAAUGGGGGGAGGGGGGAUAGAACAAAGCCUGUGAAGCAAAAUUGAUAAUAUAAAACAGGCAGAGUUGUUUAGCACAGAGAAAAUAUUGACCUGUCUGCAUUCUGGUACUGUGGGUGCAGGUCCUAGCUUGGUAUAACGAUACAUUUUUAAUUCUCACCAGCAAGGAAAAGGAACAGUCUUCAGAAAAUGUCUUUGAAAGGGUCAAGCAGUAGGGAAUUCAAAUGUUACCUACUUUAUACAGGCAUUAUUUAAUAUUUGCCUACAGAAGUAUAGUAUUUCCAAGCUUCUGUCUGAGAAGCAUUUCAGAGAUGUGAAAGUAAAUCAGAGAUAGUUGAAAAAUUGGUAAGGAUGGGAGAAAAUCCCUGCAACUUAGCUUAGUUGGCCAAGUGAAAUGAUCUAGCAUUGUGUUUGGGAGGUUUUAUUUUCUUAUGUUUUUAAAACUGAAUCGGUAAAUGCUUUAUAGAUGUAUUUUUAUCCAGGUGCCACUCCAAUUUGUGUGUGUAAUAAAAUUAUUUAUAUUAAAAGUGGGAAAUAAUUUGUCAGCAUUUUUCUGUGAGUAUAGAUUUAUUAGGGGUGGCAAACAAGAGUGCUAGUUAGCAGUUUUCCAAUGUAAAGUUGUUCCUAACCGAUUUGUCCACAUGUUGGUUAUCAUCCCCACCCCAAAAAGGAAUUAUCCUAACCUGGAUGUAUCACUUGAAAAUUUUUAGAAACAAUAAUCAGGGAAGUUUCUAGAGAGAAAGGUGUUUGCUUUUUUUGGUUUUCCUUUGAGGACUGGGGUAACAAAUACCUCCCCCAAAAAUUAUCAGCACAAAACAGGGUAUUGAUUUUCAACUCUGAUGUUGCUAUUGGAGUUGAAUACUAAAUAAAGAACUAUAAUGAGGAAAAUACAUUUCUAAUACAAUUUCCUACAUUCUAGAAACAUCCCUGUUUUAAUUUUUUUACUUAAAUCUUUUUGUGCUUUAUCUGUGUAAAGAAAUAAAAUGUACUGAAUUAUAAAGCAUUUUAUUAACACUAUGUACAUAGCUGGUUUGUGUUCAGAAUGGUAGCAUUGCUUUGUAUAUUAAAGUGAUCCUUGUGAAUUUGUGAAA